rnacentral:lncRNA from 1 species
CCAUGUUCGAGGUCAGAUACGCGAGGACUAUAUCCUCAUUUUUUUUUGUAUGUGGUUAUAUUAUCUGUAGGAUGAUGCGACAGGCCUCGUUGCAUCCAGCAGGUGCAGGAGGAUCAAGUCACGAAAGAUUGCUUACAGAAGACUUUGACUGUGUCCAAAGCCAGCUCACGUGCUCAAAAGUUCGUUGACCUGCAAAAAAAAAUAUAAUAAUAGAUAAGAUUUGAGA